rnacentral:rRNA from 1 species
AGUGAACGCUGGCGGUAUGCCUAACACAUGCAAGUCGAACGGCAGCACAGUAAGAGCUUGCUCUUACGGGUGGCGAGUGGCGUACGGGUGAGGAAUACAUCGGAAUCUACUUUUUCGUGGGGGAUAACGUAGGGAAACUUACGCUAAUACCGCAUACGACCUACGGGUGAAAGCAGUGGAUCUUCUGACCUUGCGCGAGUGAAUGAGCCGCUGUCGGAUUGGCUGGUUGGCGGGGUAAAUGCCCACGAAGGCGACGAUCCGUAGCUGGUGUGAGAGGCUGAUCAGCCACACUAGAACUGGGACACGGACCAGACUACUACGAGAGGCAGCAGUGGGGAAUAUUGGACAAUGGGCGCAAGCAUGAUACAGCCAUACCGAGUGGGUGAAGAAGGCCUUCGGGUUGUAAAGCCCUUUUGUUGGGAAAGAAACGCAGCAGGUUAAUACCCCGCUGUUCUGACGGUAACCAAAGAAUAAGCACCGGCUAACUUCGUG